CUCUGCUUCUCUUUCAUUUUCUCCUGCCACUGUCAUGUAAGAAGUGCCUUUUGCCUCCCACCAUGAUUCUGAGGCCUCCCCAGCCAUGUGGAAUUGUAAGUCCAAUUAAACCUCUUUUCCAUCCCAGUCUGGGUUAUGUCUUUAUCAGCAGCGUGAAAAUGGACUAAUACAGUAAAUUGGUACCAGUAGAGUGCGGCAUUGCUGAAAAGAUACCCAAAAAUGCGGAAGUGCCUUUGGAACUGGGUAACAGGCAUAGAUUGGAACAGUUUGGAGGGUUCAGAAGAAGACACGGAAAUGUGGGAAAGUUUGGAACUUCUUAGAGACUUGUUGAAUGACUUUACCCAAAAUGCUGAUAGUGAUAUGGAUAAUAAAAUGCAGGCUGAGGUGGUCUCAGAUGGAGAUAAGGAACUUGUUGGGAACUGGAGCAAAGAUUAUUCUUGUUAUGUUUUAGCAAAGAAAUUAACAGCAUUUUGCCUCUGCCCUAAAGAUUUGUGGAACUUUGAACUUGAGUAAGAUGAUUUAGGGUAUCUGGCAGAAGAAAUUUCUAAGCAGCAAAGCAUUCAAGAGGUGACUUGGGUAUGUUAAAGGCAUUCAGUUUUUUUUUUUUUUUUUUUUUUUGAGACAGAGUCUUGCUCUGUCGCCCAGGCUGGAGUGCAGUGGCACGAUAUCGGCUCACUGCAAGUUCUGCCUCCUGGGUUCACACCAUUCUCCUGUCUCAGCCUUCCGAGUAGCUGGAACUACAGGCGACGGCCACCACGCCCGGCAAAUUUUUUUUUGGUAUUUUUAGUAGAGACGGGGUUUCACCGUGUUAGCCUUGAUCUCCUGACCUUGUGAUCCACCCGCCUCAGCCUCCUAAAGUGCUGGGAUUACAGGCGUGAGCCAACAUGCCCGGCGGUGUUCAGUUUUAUAUAGGAAGCAGAACAUAAAAGUUUGGAAAAUUUGCAGCCUGACUAUGUGAUAGAAAAGAAAAACCCAAACCCAUUUUCUGGUGAGAAAUUCAAACUGGCUGCAGAAAUUUGCAUAAGUAGCAAGGAGCCUAAUGUUAACCAAGACCGUGGGGAAAAUGUCUCCAGGCCAUGUCAGAGACCACCACGGCAGCCCCUCCCAUCCAUCACAGGCCCAGAAGCCCAGGAGGAAAAAGUGGUUUCAUGGGCCGGGCCCAGGGUCCUAGUGCUGUGUGCAGCCUAGGAACUCCGUGCUCUGUGUCCCAGCUGCUCCACCUGUGGCUGAAAGGGGCUAACAUACAGCUUGGGCUGUAGCUUCAGAGGGGAAGCCCCAAGCCUUGGCAGCUUCCACGUGGUGUUGAGCCUGCAGGUGCACAGAAGUCAAGAAUUGAGGCUUGGGAACCUCCUCCUAGAUUUCAGAAGAUGUAUGGAAACGCUUGGAUGCCCAGGCAAAAGCUUGCUGCAGGGGUGGGGCCCUCAUGGAGAACCUCUGCUAGGACAAUGUGAAAGGGAAAUGUGUGGUCAGAGCCCCCACACAGAGUCCCUACUGGGGCAUUGCCUAGUGGAGCUGUGAGAAGAGGGCCACUAUCCUCCAGACCCCAGAAUGGUAGAUCCACUGACAGCUUGCACCGUGCACCUGGAAAAGCUGCAGACCCUCAAGGCCAGCCCAGGAAAGCAGCUCGGAGAGAGGCUGUAUCCUGCAAAGACACAGGGGUGGAGCUGCCUAAGACCAUGGGAAUCCACCUCUUGCAUCAGUGUGACCUGGAUGUGAGACCUGAAGUCAAAGGAGAUCAUUUUGAAGCUUUAAAAUUUGACAGCCCCGCUGGAUUUCGGACUUGCACGGGCUCUGUAACUCCUUCGUUUUGGCAAAUUUCUCCCAUUUGGAAUGGCUGUAUUUAUCCAAUACCUGUACCGCUAUUGUGUCUAGGAAGUAACGAGCUUGCUUUUGAUUUUACAGGCUCAUAGGCAGAAGGGACUUUCCUUGUCUUAGAUAAGACUUUGGACUGUGGACUUUUGGGUUAACGCUGAAAUGAGUUAAGACUUUGGGGGACUGUUGGGAAGACAUAAUUGGUUUUCAAAUGUGAGGACGUGAGAUUUAGAGAGGCCAGGGGCGGAAUGAUAUGGUUUGGCUGUGUCCCUACCCAAAUCUCAACUUGAAUUGUAUCUCCCAAAAUUCCCACGUGUUGUGAGAGGGACCAGGGGGAGAUAAUUGAAUCACGGGGGCCAGUUUUUCCAGUGCUAUUCUCAGGAUAGUGAAUAAGUCUCACAAGAUCUGAUGGGUUUACCAGGGGUUUCUGCUUUUGCUUCUCUCUUAUUUUCUCCUGCCUCUGCCAUGUAAGAAGUGCCUUGGACAGGAGCGGUGGCUCACGCCUGUAAUACCAGCACUUUGGGAGGCCGAGGAGGGUGGAUCACCUAAGGUCGGGAGUUCAAGACCAGCCUGGCCAACAUGGAGCAACCCCAAGUCUUUACUAAAAAUACAAAAUUAGCCGGGCAUGGCGGUGCAUACCUGUAAUCCUAGCUACUCCGGAGGCUGAGGCGGCAGAAUCGCUUGAACCUGGGAGGCGGAGGUUGCGGUGAGCUGAGAUCGCGCCAUUGCACUCCAGCCUGGGCAACAAGAGUGAAACUCCAUCUCAAAAAAAAAAAAAGAAGAAGAAGAAGAAGAAGAAGAAGAAGAAGAAGAAGAACAACAACAACAACAACAAGAAGAGCCUUUCACCUCCAGCCAUGAUUCUGAGGCCCCCCUAGGCAUGUGCAACUUGUCCUCUCCUCCACUGGACCCACCCAUCAGUCUCACCAACCCCUCUGCCCUCGCCGUCUUACCUCAUUUUCCCUCUGGCCACUAAGGGCUGUCAUCUUCACACGCAGAAAGAGCGAUGCAGAGGGAGAGGAAGGCCACAGGUGAGAGCUCCUCCUCGUGGAUCGUGGCUAUCAGCGCCCCAGAGACGCCAGGCACCCCCCCGGCCCAGAGGAUUUGCUCUGUCCGGAAAGGGGCGCAGUGGAGACCGGCGCAGAGUUCUCUUCCAAGUCGGGUUCCAAUUAACUCAACGAGUAUUGGAUCUCCGGUGGUCCAGGGACUUGGCUUCCUCCAUGUGCAGAAAGUCCAGUGACCCAGCCUUAACAACGUGCAUCCUUCGAUAGCUCAGCUGGUAGAGCGGAGGACUGUAGACUGCGGAAACGUUUGUGGACAUCCUUAGGUCGCUGGUUCGAUUCCGGCUCGAAGGAAGUGCCUGACUCUUUUGCGCACAAUGCUGCCUGGCUCCACCUGUUCCUGGUCAAAGACCUUGCAGCCUUCCAGUCAUAACUACACUUUCCCCAGGAAAACCCAGCAAAAUCCUGCCUUUCCUGAUCACAGGCCUGGGAGCCUAUUCAUUCUUCCCCGAAUCCUCGUAGUCUUCAGCGCAAAACAGUGCCCCUUGCCUUGUGACCCAGCCAGACCCCAAUUCGUGCCCCCACCAUCCUACGCCUUUCCACUUGUAUUUACAAACUGCCCACCCAUCCCCCUGUCCCAGACCCGUCAAGCUUCAUCUUUCCUGAGCCUUCACAAGUUUUUAUGUUGCUGCAGCCAAGUUUGGUUACUGCUGGAAAAGUAAGGAUAUCUAAUACUCAGUUCAAAGUCUGCAAAAACACCUGCACCAAGUGCCCUGCCUACUUGGGAGGGUAAGGGAAAGGGAAAGGGAGUACCAAAGAAGUGCAGACUUCAAAACAGCUUCAGUGAUCCUGGAGAGUUAGGGGCUAUUGGGUCCACGGCAGGGAGCAGACAUAAAGCUUGAGUGACAGCUGCCAUUAUACAGAGGCACAUGAAUUUGCCUCCUUAGACAGGCCACUGCCUCGUGGGUCUAAGCAGUUCGGAGCAUUUGCUCUGGGACCUAGAGGCACACUUGGGUUCUCCUACUCCCAAGAAAAAUGUGCUGAGGCCCAGUCAGAGAGAAUGGAGUCAGAAAUGGACUGGGCUUUAUCAAUCAAGUGAAGCUUCAACUCCGGGGAGUUGGAGUGGGUUUGGUGGGUAUGUGGCAGAGAAGAAAGCCAAUGAGCAUCCUUUCGUCUCAUCACAUAAUCUUGGAAAAAUCUUCCAGAUGUUUGAUGUAAAGAUGUAACCUAUCAGAGAGUACUCCAAACUGAAUGGCCCAGGAAAGCAUGGCCUUCUGAAGCCUGCUUAGGACUGGCUUGCCGCAUCUACUACCUGCUGGGUCCACAUGAACUGUUUAAUUGUGCCUCUCAAACUGGAUACUGCACAUAUUACUGCACAUAUCUUUUUCACAUGGAAAGCAGCUCCUGGUAUCCCGCCACCACCUAUUCUCCCCCACGUCACCCCGACUGUGUCAACCUUUCUUCUUUGGUGUCACCAGUGCUCUGGGAUGCUUCUAUGGCUCUGGAGGCACAGAGAGACCCCAGCUCCAAUGACACCAAAGGCAAAGACCAGCUAACAAAGAGGGACCAAAGGUAGCACCUCAGGCCUUCAUUGGAUAUAUUCCUGAUGGGGCGUGGAGUCACCAGAGCCCUUGGAACCUUUGCUCAGUGCUUUGGGGAAAAACCAGAGGAAACCCACAGAACUUUGCCCUUCUUCAGAAAUCGGCAGCUUCUGAUUGGAAUUCUCGGCCUGUUUGCAGAAGAGGGUAUCUCACAUGUGCCUCUGCAAGCCUGGGAGAGAUUUCCUCACCUCACUUCCCAGUGCACCUCAAUGCACCAAAAUGCCACUGGGGGCUGUCACCCUCACCUGUAGAAAGGUGGAUGCUCAGGGAGAGGAAGGCUGUCACAGAUGAGAGCUCCUCCUCGUGGAUGGUGGCUGUCAGAGCCCGAGAGACACCAGGCAUCCUCGCCCAGAGGAUUUGCUCCGCCCUGAAAGGGGCGUGGCGUCAAGCGGCGCAGGGUUCUCUUCCAAGGUGGGUCCCAACCAACCCAACGCGUAUUGGACCUCAAGCAUUCCAGGGAUGUGGCUCCCUCUGUUUGCAGAAAGUCCAAUGAACCAGCUUUGACAGCAUGCACCCUUCGAUAGCUCAGCUGGUAGAGCGGAGGACUGUAGAUUGUAUAGACAUUUGCGGACAUCCUUAGGUCGCUGGUUCGAUUCCGGCUCGAAGGAAGUGCGUGAUGCUUUUGGUUAAAAGCCCUGCAGCUUCCAAGUAGUAACCACACUCUCCCGGGCAAAACACCCACGAAGUCUUUCCUGAUCACCUAGCUUCCCACGCCUUGCUUCUGCUUUGUGACCCCACUAAUCCCUCUAUUCAUGCUGCCCCCUACUUCCCCACCCUGUGCUCCUUCGCUUUUCUUCACAGACUGCUCUCGAGCUUGAGCAUCUCCACUGGCUGUGACAAAACCGCUGUGCUCACCUUUGACAGAGCUCUCCUGACCAGGUGGGCAAAGCCUGGAAGGUCAAGUUCCCUGGAGAACGUCAAGCUUACUUGACAAGGGUGUAAAGUGGGGAUAACCAUGGUAUCUUCCGUGAAAACUCACCCUCUCACUCUCAUCCAUCUCAGGCUCUUUAUCACUGCAUUGAGAUCUGACAGUCUCAUGUUUGUCUCUGUCUCAUUCUCUUUCACCGUUUCUCUGUCUCUGUAUAUUUCUCUUUGUCUCUGUGUCUCUGCCUCCCUCUCUCUCUCCCCUGAGCCCUCAGCCUGCCCCUCUCAUUCUCCUUGGCUGGAAAUGUAUAGACCUAUACGGGCAUAAAGAAAAUGUCCAUUCCCACUUUGCUGUGUCUACUUUGGGGAGACAGCUGUCACCCUGAGAAUUUCCUAAUCCUAAGAACUUCCAUUAGCAAGGUCAGGUUGCCCUUUAGGUUGAGGACAAGGUGAGUCUAUCCCCUAUCCCCAUAGCUUUCCCCAAAUCCCUCAAGCCUCACUUUUUCUGAGCCUUCACAACUUUUCAUGCUGCUACAGCCGAGUUUGGCCCCUGCUGGAAAAGAAAGGACCUAAUAUUCAGUUCAAAGCCAGCAAAAACACCUGUGUUGAGUGCCCUGCUACUUGAGAGGGUAAGGGAGAUGGAAGGGGAGUACAAAAGUGCAGGCUCGAAAAGAGCUUCAGUGAUCCUGGAGAGUUAGAGGCUGUUGGGUCCGUGGCAGGGAGCAGAAGUAAAGCUUGAGUGACAGCUAUCAUUAUACAGAGGCACACCAAUUCGCUGCCUUAGGCCACUGCCUGGUGGGUCUGAGCAGUUUGGAGCUUUGGGACUAGAGGCACAGUUGGACUCUACCCUCACCCCAAAGGAAAAUGUGCUGAGGCCUAAUCAGAGAGAAUGAAGUAGGAAAUGGACUUGGGUUUUCUCCAACGAACAGGGGUUUCACCUCCAGGGAGAUGGAGUGGGUUCUGUGGGUAUGGGGCAGAGAAGAAAGCCAACAAGCGUUCCUUGGUCUCAUCUCACCAUCUCAGAAAAAAUCUCCAGAGAUUUGAUGCACACAUCCAACCUAUCACAGAGAGCACUCCAAGCCAAAUGGCCCAUGGGAACGUGGCCCUCUGAAACCCUCUGGGGACUGGGACACCUGCCUCCACUACCUGCUGUGGCCACAAGAGCUGUUUCAUUGCAGGUCUCAAACUGAAGACUACACAUGUCUUUCUCUCUUGGGAAGCAGCUCCUGAUCUCCCUCCACCUCCCUAUUUCCCCCAAUGUUCCCCUGGCUUUGUCAGCCUUUCCUGCUUCUCAUUGCUAACAGAAGGAGGCCAAGCUGUGGCAUCGCCAGUGCCCAGGAUGAUUCUAUGGCUUUGGAGCCACAGAGAGAUCCCUGCCUCCAACGACACCAAAGGCAGAGACUAGCGAACACAGAUGAAAUGUAGUACCUUUGUCCCUUAUUGGAUAAGUUCAUGAUGGGAUAUAGAGACCCCCAGGUUCUUCGGAACCUCUGUUUAGUGUUUUGGUGGGAAAAUCAGAGGUGAGCCAGUGAAUGGGCUUUGGUGGCCAGCACAAGCAAGGUUGAAACCUGGGUACCAACUCUUCCUGUUUGAGCCAUGACAGAGUAGCUGGGUUCUGUGAGCAUCUGACCCUUGCCCUCAGAGAUCCAGACCCACUUGCCAUAAGACAGGGAGUGGACUUAAACUCAAUGGUGGCCAGGUUCCUUGGAUGUGGCUUGCUGCACCUCCAGUAGGUGUUCAGCUGGGGGGUGGGUGUCCCAGUGGUCUUGGGGUAGUGGUGUUGCGGGAAGUCAGGGACCCCAAACGGAGGGACCGGCUGAAGCCAUGAGAGAAGAAUGUGGAUUGUGAAGAUUUUAUGGACAUUUAUUAGUUCCCCAAAUUAACACUUUUGUAAUUUCUUAUGCCUGUCUUUACUGCAAUCUCUAAACAAAAAUUGUAAAGAUUUCAUGAACACUUAUCACUUCCCCAAUCAAUACCCCUGUGCUUUCCUAUGCCUGUCUUUACUUUAAUCUCUUAAUCCUGUCAGCUGAGGAGGAUGUAUGUCACCUCAGGACCCUGUAAUAAUUGCAUUAACUGCACAAAUUGUACAGCAUGUGUGUUUGAGCAAUAUGAAAUGUGGGCACCCUGAAAAAAGAACAGGAUAACAGCAAUGUUCAGGGAAUAAGAGAGAUAACCUUAAACUCUGACCGCCGGUGAGCCGGGCAGAACAGAGCCAUAUUUCUCUUCUUUCAAAAGCAAAUGGGAGAAAUAUCGCUGAAUUCCUUUUCUCAGCAUGGAACGUCCCUGAGAAAGAGAAUGCGCCCCUAGGGGUAGGUCUCUGAACUGGCCCCCCCGGGGCAUACUUGUCUUUUAUGGUCGAGAUUGCAGAGGUAAAAUAAACUCCAGUCUCCCAUAGCGCUCCCAGGCUUAUUAGGAAGAGGAAAUUCCCGCCUAAUAAACUUUGGUCAGACUGGUUGAUCACAAAACCCUGUCUCCUGAUAAGAUGUUAUCAAUGACAAUGGUGCCAAAACUUCAUUAGCAAUUUUAAUUUCACUUCGGUCCUGUGGUCCUGUGAUCUCGCCCUGUCUCCACUUGCCUUGUGAUAUUCUAUUACCCUGUUAAGUACUUGAUGUCUGUCACCGACACCUAUUUGUAUCUCCCUCCCCUUUUGAAACUCCCUAAUAAAAACUUGCUGGUUUUUGUGGCUUGUGGGGCAUCACGGAUCCUACCAAUGUGUGAUGUCUCCCCCGGACGCCCAGCUUUAAAAUUUC